UUAAAUGUAUGAAUAGAGAAGCAUAUGAAAACUAUAAGAUGACUAAGAAGGAAUUUAAGAAUAUGGAACAAGUGGCUAGAUUCGCAGCAUAUGAACAGUUAUAUCAUUAAUUAGAAACUAAGAAAGGGGAGAAAGAUAUCUAUAAUAUCACAACAUCAAGAGGAAGGAAAUUAGAGGCAUGACUCAGGUUAAAUGGACCAAAGAUGAAAAUCAAAAAAGUUUGAU
rnacentral:lncRNA from 1 species